rnacentral:lncRNA from 1 species
AGGGAAUCAAGUCUAAUUUACCUUCACUUAGUUUGGGAAACGUUUUUCCUACAAAUUUUGGGGGCAAUUAUAACAAUUCUUCACAGGAGUUAGAAUAGAUAAAGUGUCAUUCUGUCACCCAGGCUGGAGUGCAAUGGCAUGAUCGUAGUGUACUACAACCUCAAUUUCCUGGGCUCAAGUGAUCCAACCACCUUUCCCCUCUCAAUGGGAUUACAGUUGAGAGCAAUAUUUCCAUAUACCUUGAUUACAACCCUAGAAAAAUCACACCAGGUAACCUCAGUUGAGCCCUGCUGAGCAGGAGAAAGGGAGAAUCCACUCACCGAACUCUGUGCUGAAAAUGCCUCCAUCUACAAGAAGAGAUGCGUUUUUCUAAUUCAUGUAAAAAUUAAUAAACUAGCUGUAUGGAAUGGUGUUACUCUCCCACAAACAUAUAAAAAAUAAAGAUGCAAUCUUAAAUUUAUAUCACAGAGUUCACUUCUGAUGUACCAAGGAUAGUCCAUUAAAUUGUGGAUGCAAAAAAAAGUAGAAUAUCAGGUAGUCAUGUCAUUUUCAUGGUAAAAAAUAUGCAUUUUAAGACCUUGCCUAAGACUCAACUACACAGUGAAAAUUUCCCUACAUAUUCCUACCAUACUGUGGCUUCUUUAGACUUUUUAUUGUUUCAUUAAGUGCAUAAAGCGAGAGAAUAUUUUGAAAUAUAUUAUUGUGGG